GCAUAAUCACUUGUCCCUUAAAUCGGGACUGGAAUGAACGGCUAAAUGAGGACUAAACUGUCUCUUACAGGCCAGCCAAUGAAAUUGAUUUUCCAGUACAAAAGCUGGGAUAAACCCACAAGACGAGAAGACCCUGUGGAGCUUACAAACCAAAUUCACCAAGUAUGUCUACCGGUUUUCAGUUGGGGCGACUUCGGAGUACAAAAUAACCUCCAAACAUAAAACUAAUUAAGAACAACAUAUCAAAAUAUACUCAUAAUGACCCAGCAACCUUACGGUUGUCUGAUUAAUGAACCAAGUUACCCCAGGGAUAACAGCGCCAUCCCCUUCUAGAGUCCCUAUCGACAAGGGGGUUUACGACCUCGAUGUUGGAUCAGGACACCCCAAUGGUGCAGCCGCCAUUAACGGUUCGUUUGUUCAACGAUUAAAGUCCAACGUGAU
rnacentral:rRNA from 2 species